rnacentral:rRNA from 1 species
CCGCCGGCGACCGGCGCGACGGUGGGUAACGCGUAUGCAACUUACCUAUCAGAGGGGGAUAACCCGGCGAAAGUCGGACUAAUACCGCAUGAAGCAGGGGCCCCGCAUGGGGAUAUUUGCUAAAGAUUCAUCGCUGAUAGAUAGGCAUGCGUUCCAUUAGGCAGUUGGCGGGGUAACGGCCCACCAAACCGACGAUGGAUAGGGGUUCUGAGAGGAAGGUCCCCCACAUUGGUACUGAGACACGGACCAAACUCCUACGGAAGGCAGCAG